AUCUUCACCUUGGUGGCAGCCCUACCUCUGAGAUUUUAAGGUCUACGGAAAGUGCAGGCUUCCAGGAGUGCUGUGGAGCAGAGCAGAGAGGGUCCUCCACCUUGUUUCUUAUGGGCGAGGCUCACACAUCUGAGUUCCUGAGGCCAGGAGUCGCCCAGGAAGACUGUCCUCCCUGACCUCUUUAAGCAGGUGAGGAACUGACAUAGCAAAAAGCACCUGCAAUGUGCCAGUUUCUGUGCUGUGGGCUAAGGAUGG
rnacentral:lncRNA from 1 species